AACACAUUUACAUAUAUACCAUACACCAUAUAAAAAAGUAUUUUAACAAUUCGGUGAAUAGUUAAACGCAUUUUAUUAUUAUACACGCUUGAAAAUUAAUAUUGCGAUGACAAGGUUUAAAAGUUUUUACAUAGCGGUGAAAAAUACUUAUUUUCUCAAAAAUUAAUACACAUAGUCAAUCAACUCAACAAUUUCAAUAUUCUAUUUUUGCAUAUUAUAAUAAAUAUGAAGAAAAUAAUAAAAGAAAAUUUGCCACCGUUUAUGAUUUACACAUUGACUGUGUUGAAUUUUUUCAACGUGUUCUUUGCACUAGCUAACAGAAAUAGAAAAAUAAAACCCGUCGCGCUUUUGCCAGUUGUAAAUAUUAUGUUUUUAUUUUAAAAAGAGCACUCACUAGGAUCUUGUGCCGGAUUUGGAACUGCAGAUUUGCGAGUCGGCUGCUUCUGCGAGAUCCUCCGAAAAAAAAUUCCGUCUGCCACACAAUACCAAUAAACAGCAACGCAAAAAGCCGGCAGCCAAUACGAGAAAGGAAGAUGAGGUAAUCUGGAUCGAAGAUGGAAACAUGGAACUCGUUCGCUUUCGGACUACUAGCAGCAAUAUUGAUCUGGAAGAAUGGAUCCCAGAGGUCCCGGAGCUGCAACUGCUUCUCUCUUUUCAAAGAUUUUCGAGUCGGCUGCUUCUGCAAGAUCCUCCGAAAAAAAAUGUCGUUUUUGCCACACAACACCAAGGAACAGCAACGCAAAACGCCGGCAGCAAAUACGAGAAAGGAAGAUGAGGUCAUCUGGAUCAAGGAUGGAAACAUGGAACUAGUUCACUUUCGGACUACUAGCUGCAAUAUUGAUCUCGAAGAAUGAAUCCCAGAGGUCACGGAGCUGAAAGUUUGAAACCCUACGAUAGGCAUACGUGAAAAACUGUAUAGAAGAGUGUAGCGAAAAAGACGAGGCUUAACUGAUCAUUAAUAAUACUAAAUAAUGAUAAUCGAACAACUUUUUUUUUCCAAAUGUUAUCUCAUUUCAAACUAAAACAAAAUUUGUAGUUUAUUUGUAUAUUUCAUUGACUUUGUUACAAAUGUUUUAUUAAAAGUGAGUUUUUCAACAUGUAUCUACUUGUUUCGUUGUGUUUUAUGGAAUAUUUUUAUGACAUUUUCUU